rnacentral:rRNA from 1 species
GGUGCGUAGGCGGACGUUUAAGUCAGUGGUGAAAGUUUGUAGCUCAACUAUAAAAUUGCCAUUGAAACUGAAUGUCUUGAGUGUAAAUGAGGUAGGCGGAAUGUGUUGUGUAGCGGUGAAAUGCUUAGAUAUAACACAGAACACCAAUUGCGAAGGCAGCUUACUAGGAUACAACUGACGCUGAGGCACGAAAGCGUGGGGAUCAAACAGGAUUAGAUACCCUGGUAGUCCACGCAGUAAACGAUGAAUACUAGCCGUAUGCGAUAUACUGUAUGUGGCAAAGCGAAAGCGUUAAGUAUUCCACCUGGGGAGUACGUUCGCAAGAAUGAAACUCAAAGGAAUUGACGGGGGCCCGCACAAGCGGAGGAACAUGUGGUUUAAUUCGAUGAUACGCGAGGAACCUUACCCGGGCUUGAAAUGCAGAGGAAUGACGAGGAAACUUGUCCGCCAGCAAUGGUCUCUGUGUAGGUGCUGCAUGGUUGUCGUCAGCUCGUGCCGUGAGGUGUCGGCUUAAGUGCCAUAACGAGCGCAACCCCUAUCAUUAGUUACUAACAGGUUAAGCUGAGGACUCUAGUGAGACUGCCACCGUAAGGUGUGAGGGAGGUGGGGAUGACGUCAAAUCAGCACGGCCCUUACGUCCGGGGCGACACACGUGUUACAAUGGGGGGUACAGAGGGUUGCUACUUGGUGACAAGAUGCUAAUCUCUUAAAGCCUCUCUCAGUUCGGAUCGAAGUCUGCAACUCGACUUCGUG